UGGGGAAUCUUGCGCAAUGGGCGAAAGCCUGACGCAGCAACGCCGCGUGGGGGACGAAGGCUCUCGGGUUGUAAACCCCUUUCAGGAGGGACGAAAAUGACGGUACCUCCAGAAGAAGCCCCGGCCAACUACGUGCCAGCAGCCGCGGUAACACGUAGGGGGGCGAGCGUUGUCCGGAUUUAUUGGGCGUAAAGAGCUCGUAGGUGGCUCGGUAAGUCGGGUGUGAAAUUUCGAGGCUCAACCUCGAGACGCCACCUGAUACUGCUGUGGCUAGAGUCCGGUAGGGGAGCGUGGAAUUCCUGGUGUAGCGGUGAAAUGCGCAGAUAUCAGGAGGAACACCAGCGGCGAAGGCGGCGCUCUGGGCCGGUACUGACACUGAGGAGCGAAAGCAUGGGGAUCAAACAG
rnacentral:rRNA from 1 species